GACGAACGCUGGCGGCGUGCUUAACACAUGCAAGUCGAGCGAGUGAGUUCUUCGGAACGAUCUAGCGGCGGACGGGUGAGUAACACGUGGGCAACCUGCCUCAUAGAGGGGAAUAGCCUUCCGAGAGGAAGAUUAAUACCGCAUAACAUCGUUGAAGGGCAUCCUUCGAUGAUCAAAGGAGCAAUCCGCUAUGAGAUGGGCCCGCGGCGCAUUAGCUAGUUGGUGAGGUAACGGCUCACCAAGGCGACGAUGCGUAGCCGACCUGAGAGGGUGAUCGGCCACAUUGGGACUGAGACACGGCCCAGACUCCUACGGGAGGCAGCAGUGGGGAAUAUUGCACAAUGGGGGAAACCCUGAUGCAGCAACGCCGCGUGAGUGAUGACGGCCUUCGGGUUGUAAAGCUCUGUCUUUGGGGACGAUAAUGACGGUACCCAAGGAGGAAGUCACGGCUAACUACGUGCCAGCAGCCGCCGUAAUAC
rnacentral:rRNA from 1 species